CAGCCGCCGCGGUAAAACCAACACCUCAAGUGGUCAGGAUGAUUAUUGGGCCUAAAGCAUCCGUAGCCGGCUCUGUAAGUUUUCGGUUAAAUCUGUAUGCUCAACAUACAGGCUGCCGGGAAUACUGCAGAGCUAGGGAGUGGGAGAGGUAGACGGUACUCGGUAGGAAGGGGUAAAAUCCUUUGAUCUAUUGAUGACCACCAGUGGCGAAGGCUGCUGUCUAGAACACGUCUGACGGUCAGGGACGAAAGCUGGGGUAGCGAACCGGAUUAGAUACCCGGGUAGUCCCAGCCGUAAACGAUGCAUGCUAGGUGUUGGGUUGGCCACGAGCCACCCCAGUGCCGCAGGGAAGCCGUUAAGCAUGCCGCCUGGGAAGUAUGAUCGCAAGGUUGAAACUUAAAGGAAUUGGCGGGGGAGCAC
rnacentral:rRNA from 2 species